CAGCAUCUACCCACAUGGGCUUAGCCUUGUUGAGGAUUGUUCCAGUGCUGCACUUCCCUGGCUGGCCUCCGGAAAUACUUAGAUAAGAAAUGACAGGCUCACAGACUUCUGUGAAGUCCAUGAAUACAAUGUGAAAUGAUCAAGUUAAGAUGGGAGUUAGUUUUCAUACCCUAAACUUGGAUCUGAAGAAUCUGGAGAAAUGGUCCUAAACACCACAGCCCAAGAAUACAAUAAUGGUUCUUCUAUAUACUCAAGUGGACCUCUGGCUAUUACCCAGAUAACUGAAAAUAGUUUAUAUUGAUACCAACAGACCCAAAGCAUUAUCAUGGAACCCCACUAGUGUGGUGCCCUAUGGGCUGGAGAAAGUAAGUGGAGUCCUGGCACAUACUUGUUCACAUUGGAUCCACUAGCUCUGUGAUCUUACUUAGUUGUUCCUGAAUGCACACUGGAAAUGAAUAUACUUGGACGUUUUCGAAUUCUCACAUUUGUGGCCUGUGAUAUAAGAGGCAUUGUAGGAUGAAUUAGUUUCUUAGGGUUGUUGUAACAAAGUACCAUGAACCAAGUGGCUUAAACAAUGGAAAUGUGCUGUCUCACAGUUCUGGAUCUUAGUAAGUCUGAAAUCAAAGUGUCAGCAGAGUUAGUUCCUUCCCAAGAAUAUCCAUAUAUUGCAGUCACAGUUCUUACUGUAUUACAGGAGAGAAUCUUCAAAAGUUCAUAAGUGGAUUUUAUAAAAACUGACAU